AAAAGACAAAUAUUUUAAUCCAGUUUUCCCAUUUUAUACUAAAAUCAUUAAUACAGGUCACAAAUUGCAUUUAUUCUAGAAAGCAGUCAGAAGUGUGUCCGUUUCUGUAUAGAUCUUAACAAGUUGCACCUCAGAGCCGAUCAUGAUCAAGUUAAAAACACCUGACAUACAGAAUACGUGCUAAUAAAUUUCCUCCGGGUCAUGACCAGCAUGAAGAAACCAGG
rnacentral:lncRNA from 1 species